rnacentral:rRNA from 1 species
AUGCAAGUCGAACGCUUUGUGGUUCAACUGAUUUGAAGAGCUUGCUCAGAUAUGACGAUGGACAUUGCAAAGAGUGGCGAACGGGUGAGUAACACGUGGGAAACCUACCUCUUAGCAGGGGAUAACAUUUGGAAACAGAUGCUAAUACCGUAUAACAAUGACAACCGCAUGGUUGUUAUUUAAAAGAUGGUUCUGCUAUCACUAAGAGAUGGUCCCGCGGUGCAUUAGCUAGUUGGUAAGGUAAUGGCUUACCAAGGCGAUGAUGCAUAGCCGAGUUGAGAGACUGAUCGGCCACAAUGGGACUGAGACACGGCCCAUACUCCUACGGGAGGCAGCAGUAGGGAAUCUUCCACAAUGGGCGAAAGCCUGAUGGAGCAACGCCGCGUGUGUGAUGAAGGGUUUCGGCUCGUAAAACACUGUUGUAAGAGAAGAAUGACAUUGAGAGUAACUGUUCAAUGUGUGACGGUAUCUUACCAGAAAGGAACGGCUAAAUACGUGCCAGCAGCCGCGGUAAUACGUAUGUUCCAAGCGUUAUCCGGAUUUAUUGGGCGUAAAGCGAGCGCAGACGGUUAUUUAAGUCUGAAGUGAAAGCCCUCAGCUCAACUGAGGAAUUGCUUUGGAAACUGGAUGACUUGAGUGCAGUAGAGGAAAGUGGAACUCCAUGUGUAGCGGUGAAAUGCGUAGAUAUAUGGAAGAACACCAGUGGCGAAGGCGGCUUUCUGGACUGUAACUGACGUUGAGGCUCGAAAGUGUGGGUAGCAAACAGGAUUAGAUACCCUGGUAGUCCACACCGUAAACGAUGAGUGCUAGGUGUUUGAGGGUUUCCGCCCUUAAGUGCCGCAGCUAACGCAUUAAGCACUCCGCCUGGGGAGUACGACCGCAAGGUUGAAACUCAAAGGAAUUGACGGGGACCCGCACAAGCGGUGGAGCAUGUGGUUUAAUUCGAAGCAACGCGAAGAACCUUACCAGGUCUUGACAUCCCUUGACAACUCCAGAGAUGGAGCGUUCCCUUCGGGGACAAGGUGACAGGUGGUGCAUGGUUGUCGUCAGCUCGUGUCGUGAGAUGUUGGGUUAAGUCCCGCAACGAGCGCAACCCUUAUUACUAGUUGCCAGCAUUCAGUUGGGCACUCUAGUGAGACUGCCGGUGACAAACCGGAGGAAGGUGGGGAUGACGUCAAAUCAUCAUGCCCCUUAUGACCUGGGCUACACACGUGCUACAAUGGCGUAUACAACGAGUUGCCAACCCGCGAGGGUGAGCUAAUCUCUUAAAGUACGUCUCAGUUCGGAUUGUAGGCUGCAACUCGCCUACAUGAAGUCGGAAUCGCUAGUAAUCGCGGAUCAGCACGCCGCGGUGAAUACGUUCCCGGGUCUUGUACACACCGCCCGUCACACCAUGAGAGUUUGUAACACCCAAAGCCGGUGGGGUAACCUUCGGGAGCCAGCCGUCU